AGUGAACGCUGGCGGUAGGCCUAACACAUGCAAGUAGAACGGCAGCACAGUAAGAGCUUGCUCUUACGGGUGGCGAGUGGCGGACGGGUGAGGAAUACAUCGGAAUCUACUUUUUCGUGGGGGAUAACGUAGGGAAACUUACGCUAAUACCGCAUACGACCUACGGGUGAAAGCAGGGGAUCUUCGGACCUUGCGCGAUUGAAUGAGCCGAUGUCGGAUUAGCUAGUUGGCGGGGUAAAGGCCCACCAAGGCGACGAUCCGUAGCUGGUCUGAGAGGAUGAUCAGCCACACUGGAACUGAGACACGGUCCAGACUCCUACGGGAGGCAGCAGUGGGGAAUAUUGGACAAUGGGCGCAAGCCUGAUCCAGCCAUACCGCGUGGGUGAAGAAGGCCUUCGGGUUGUAAAGCCCUUUUGUUGGGAAAGAAAAGCAGCAGGUUAAUACCCCGCUGUUCUGACGGUACCCAAAGAAUAAGCACCGGCUAACUUCGU
rnacentral:rRNA from 1 species